CCUACGGGAGGCAGCAGUGAGGAAUAUUGGUCAAUGGACGAGAGUCUGAACCAGCCAAGUAGCGUGAAGGAUGACUGCCCUAUGGGUUGUAAACUUCUUUUAUAUGGGAAUAAAACGUUCCACGUGUGGCCUUUUGUAUGUACCACAUGAAUAAGGAUCGGCGAACUCCGUGCCAGCCGCCGCGGUAAUACGGAGGAUCCGAGCGUUAGUCGGAUUUAUUGGGUUUAAAGGGAGCGUAGGUGGAUUGUUAAGUCAGUUGUGAAAGUUUGCGGCUCAACCGUAGAAUUGCAGUUGAAACUGGCAGUCUUGAGUACAGGAGAGGUGGGCGGAAUUCGUGGUGUAGCGGUGAAAUGCAUAGAUAUCACGAAGAACUCCGAUUGCGAAGGCAGUUCACUGGACUGCAACUGACACUGAGGCUCGAAAGUGUGGGUAUCAAACAGGAUUAGAUACCCCGGUAGUC
rnacentral:rRNA from 1 species